rnacentral:lncRNA from 10 species
AUUGUUAUGUAAGUUCAGAGGAAGGAGGUGUCACUGACUGGGUAAUCAGAGAUUCUUUGCAGAGGAGGUGGCUCAUACGCAGGAAUUUACUUGUGAAGGACAGGGAGAAUUUCACUUGAGAAAAAGCCUGGCCCAAGCAUAUAUGUGGAAAUUAGAAAGCACAGGGUGUGUUUGAGGAACAGCAGAUAAAAUUAAGGGCUGGAGUCUCAGUAGGACAUGCAAUGUUAAUUGUUCUCCGGGAGCAUUGCAAUCACUUCUAGCAGGGCAUAUUUGCAAUACAGCAGGCAAGGUUUAGGCCAGUAAAUUUUUUCCUUCAGUUCUAAUUGAGUUAGAUGUCAUUAGUGCCAUUCUUCAUUGGGAUGAACUGAAGAAGAGUCUGUGAUUCAGAACAAGUUGAAUAAAUAUGCACCAAAUGCCCUGUACUUGUAAAUAUUUAUGACAUGCUGUCAGUAUAAAUUAUAUUUACUAUAUAUUUCAAAAUAUUUUUGUUAGCAAACAUUUGCUUUAAAAAGAUGCAUUUCUAUACUCUCUACAUAAAGUUGUGGAUUUCAUACUGAUAAAUUUUCAAAUGCAAAACAAAUACUCCUUCUUUAUGUGUAGACACAGGGAAUAUGGAGGUUCUGCACCUGUAUGGAAGUGAGGAACAGAAGAAACAGUGGCUUGAGCCUCUUCUUCAAGGGAACAUUACCUCUUGCUUCUGUAUGACAGAACCUGAUGUAGCUUCAAGUGAUGCCACGAAUAUUGAAUGCAGCAUCCAACGAGAUGAAGAUAGCUAUGUAAUUAACGGCAAAAAAUGGUGGAGCAGUGGUGAGUGUUCAGCCUAAUUUUUUCACCUAACACACUGAUCCUUUGUUCCAGAUGCUAUGCUAGAAUAUUGCUAUGAUACAUAGUGAUCAGUUUCAUGAUCAUAAUUCUUUAAAUUCUGCAUGUGUAGGCCAGGUGCGGUGGCUAACACCUGUAAUCCCAGCACUUUGGGAGGCUGAGGCAGGUGGAUCACCUGAGGCCAGGAGUUCAAGACCAACCUGGCCAACAUGGUGAAGCCCUGUCUCUACUAAAAAUACAAAAAUUAGCCAGGUGUGGUGACAGGCACCUGUAAUCCCAACUACUCAGGAGGCUGAGGCAGGAGAUUUGCUUGACCCCGGGUGGCGGAAGUUGACAUGCGCUGAGAUGGCACCACUGUACUUCACCCUGGGCAACAAGAGCGAAACUCUGUCUCAAAAAAAUGAAAAAAUAAUUAAUUAAUUCUGCAUGUGAAAGCAUUUUCAAACUUAGAAAUAGUGGUUGAAAG